rnacentral:rRNA from 1 species
UUGAGAGUUUGAUCCUGGCUCAGAACGAACGCUGGCGGCAGGCCUAACACAUGCAAGUCGAGCGCACCCUUGAACUUCGGUUCUCUGGGCGAGCGGCGGACGGGUUAGUAACGCGUGGGAACGUACCCUUUUCUACGGAAUAGCCAUUGGAAACGAUGAGUAAUACCGUAUACGCCCUUCGGGGGAAAGAUUUAUCGGAGAAGGAUCGGCCCGCGUUAGAUUAGAUAGUUGGUGGGGUAAUGGCCUACCAAGCCGACGAUCCAUAGCUGGUCUGAGAGGAUGAUCAGCCACACUGGGACUGAGACACGGCCCAGACUCCUACGGGAGGCAGCAGUGGGGAAUAUUGGACAAUGGGGGCAACCCUGAUCCAGCGAUGCCGCGUGAGUGAUGAAGGCCUUAGGGUUGUAAAACUCUUUCAGGGGUGAAGAUAAUGACGGUAACCCCAGAAGAAGCUCCGGCUAACUCCGUGCCAG